GUCGAUUUUCUAUAGCUCCCUGGGAAGUCAGCAGAGGCUUAUCGGGCGCGUUAUUUCCAUAAACAUGUCACCUUUAAAUCAUUUUGAGCAGUCGCACAGAGUUCCCCGGUAGGAGGAUCGAAAAAAAAAAUGGAGAGUUCUGAAAACGACGAUGUCUUAACUUCGGAACAGGCUCAAAUUCUUACACCCAGGACGGAUCGACAAGACCCCGAGGCAGCCACCGUCCUCUGAUGAGGUCACCCGGUCUCCCUUUAGCAGACGCUGUACUGGAUAACCCGGGCCUUUCUGAGUGUUCCAUUAACCUCAGACAUGACCAAGCUGAAUGAGAAAUCAAGGUCAACAUUCAGGAAAAAAUUGGUAAAGUUUUACUGCAAAUUUAACAACAAAAUUAUAUUUGAUGGUCAUAGUCAUAGUCGUUUCGUGCAUUAUAUAUCGUAAACUAUUUAUUAGUAUUAGCACCAGGAUUUACUUGACUUUGUGAGUUUUUUAUCAAAUCAUUUGAGAGGAUCGGUAGUAAUCUCUUCUUAGAGUAAUCGUUCCUUACACUCGCAUAUACCUCUGUUAACGUCUCGAGGGUUUUUCAAGGUUCUUCUAAAACGGUACAAAUGCUCAGAUAAAAUAUAGUUUUGACUUUGGUUGCAAAAUAUGUGUAAAUAAAUCAGAUUUAAAGUCUUUUGUGAUACAAGAAUGAUUGAAUUGUGUUGAUUAACUGAUUGUAUAUUAAACGUUCCGCUACGAGAAUUUUUCAAUGAUAUGGAGGCGUCACUAUUGCCAGUGAAGAGCUGCAAAAUUUAAAUCUAUGCCCGGCGCCUACGGUCUUUGAAAAGGGAGGGAUCUUUAUUUUACCACACUUGCUGUGACACGGGACCUCGGUUUUUGUGGUCACAUCCGAAUGACUGCCCCAUUAAGUCGCUUCUUACAACAAGAAAUGGGUACUCGGGACCUAUUCUAACUAAGAUCCUCACGGCAUUGAAUUGUGUUGAAACGUGGAUAUAUAAAUGCAGUUCGAUUGCACUAUAUAUUAGAUAUGCAUUGUAAUGGGAAAUAAAAAGUUGCUUCACCUACAUUUUCCUGAUAUUUCAUCAAGUAGCUCUUAGAUUUAUAUUUAUCAACAGUGAAAUAGUAGAUUUACACAUGGAAUAACACUGCUAAUUCUAAGACGUGGACAGAGGUAUUUCUGAGUCUAAUGAACGAGAACUCUGGGUAGCAAUUGGCUCAGUAGAUGUCCCACCAGAUUCAGAAAUUGAUCUUGUUGAUAAUACAUCAGGUUAGAGAACACGCUUUUUUGUAAUACAGUUAUUUAUAUUUGUGAAAGGUGAAGAUAACGAACAGUGAUCAGCCUCAUAAUAACUUCUAUAAGCAAUACAAAAUAUAGAGUUGGGCAAACACAGACUCCUAGAUAUACUAGAGGUGGGAUCAGGUGUCUAGGAGGAGUAAGCAUCUCCUGUCGACCGGUCACACCCGCAGUGAGUCCUAUAUCUUGAUCAGGUAAACGGAGCUAUCCGUAGUCAAAAUCAGUGUGCCAAGAACGGCCUAACAAUCAGUGAUGCUUACUCCUCCUAGAUCUCACCUCUGGUAUAUCCAGGGGUCCGUGUUUGCACAACUCUCUAUUUCGUAUUGCUUAUAGGAGUUACUAGAUUGAUCCCUGUUCAUUAUCUUCAUUUCUCAUGAGAGCGCUACCUGAACCAACCACCAUGAGAGCUGGCGAUUAUCUGAACAUCGAUGCAAAAGAAGAAACUGAACAUCAGCUCACCGAUGAUGAUAUUAUGCUGUUAGGGUCAAGGGUAGAAGUGUCUGACUGUGAUGACGAUCACGUCGACGAUGAAGAAGUGAGUGACAUCACCACGAAAGAAACAACAGACAGCAUCACCACACUCAUUAGUAAUUUCGAGCAGAAACAGCAGCAACAGAAAAUGAUAUGACAAACAGGAAAUUCUUGGAUCAACGUUGGACAAUUAAUACUGUUUCGACCGACUGCCAAACCCGGAAAUCACGCCAAAUGAAGUUGACCGAAGUAAAGGUGUGACGAAAUGUGAAUGGUAAGCUGGAUUCUCUAAACACUAUAAAGAUGAAUGGACUCGAUUGUGACAGACAAGGAGUGUCCUAGUGAAUGACUCUAAAUUCAUGUUUGAAGCCGGAGACAUUAUUCAGUGCAUUGAUGCCAAUAAAGUGAAAAAGAAUUUUGAUUGGGCCCCGGGUAUCUAGGCUUAAAUACUAUCUUAUAAAUCAAA